GGGAAUCUACCCUGAACUGCGGAAUAGCUCCGGGAAACUGGAAUUAAUACCGCAUGUGCCCUGAGGGGCAAAGAUUUAUCGGUUCAGGAUGAGCCCGCGUCCGAUUAGCUAGUUGGUGGGGUAAAGGCCUACCAAGGCGACGAUCGGUAGCUGGUCUAAGAGGAUGAUCAGCCACAUUGGGACUGAGACACGGCCCAAACUCCUACGGGAGGCAGCAGUGGGGAAUAUUGGACAAUGGGCGCAAGCCUGAUCCAGCCAUGCCGCGUGAGUGAUGAAGGCCCUAGGGUUGUAAAGCUCUUUCAGUGGGGACGAUAAUAACGGUACCCACAGAAGAAGCCCCGGCUAACUUCGUGCCAGCAGCCGCGGUAAUACGAAGGGGGCUAGCGUUGUUCGGAAUUACUGGGCGUAAAGCGCACGUAGGCGGACAUUUAAGUCAGGGGUGAAAUCCCGGGGCUCAACCCCGGAACUGCCUUUGAUACUGGGUGUCUUGAGUUCGGAAGAGGUGAGUGGAAUUGCGAGU
rnacentral:rRNA from 1 species